CAUGAAUCAAGUUGAUAAUCUACUGGCAAAUAUUAUUAAAUCCUUGUCUAGAGAAGAGAAAUUAUGAAGAUUAAUUAUAGAUAAAACUUAUCGGUGGUCAUUGGCCAUUGGACAUAAACAUUACACAACAAGUUGGAAAUCUCAAAUUCAACAAAUGAUGGUUUGGAAGGAAUCAGUGGCUAACUUGCAUGCGUUGUAAAGCAAUUACUAGCCUGCUAUUCAGUGGAGUGGGUGUGUGGUCCAAGUCUGGGUUUAAGGGUCUCUUUUCCCAGCUUAAAAGGAUAAACAUUCAAAACGAUACGUCAGAAAAGGUUGAGUACAUUAGCCAUGCUUUCAAUCCAGCAUGAUUUACGUCGUGUGUAAAACAACUGUAAAGCUCAGAACUGGGAAAUCUCAGACUUCAGUGAGUUCAAGACAACUGGGAACUGGCUCCGACUGGGAAAAUACACUUUGAACUGUCAUCCAACUCAGAAUUCCAAGUUGGGAACUCAGGCCUCUUUCUAGAGCUCCGACCUGAAGAUUCUUUCUAGAGCUCCAACCUUGUUUUUUUUCCACAGUUACUAUUUAUCUUGAAAACACCAUACAUCCAGAGAAUGCCAGACUUUGACGAUAUUGUUUGAUGACAAAAUUGGACCGUGAAGGACCGACUCCACCUUCCUGUUCAAGUGAGCACAGCACAACAAGGUUGAACCUUGGAAUCUACAGGAACAUGGAGCACUCCGUGCCGGUGCUACAGAGACAGGCUCGUCCAAGGACAUCCAGAGCCUUUUGACCAACCACCUGCGAUCUCUCCGGAGCACAGAGAAGUGAGUCUACUGGUCUAUGGAACUCUAGAGCAGCACAUCACAAAACCUGCCACCCUGUUGUCAGCUAUCCACAGACUUUCAAUGGCCACAUUUUGGGGAUGGCCAAAUGCAAUAAAAUGUUCUAUAAACAAGUCACUCAUAUUGUAAGAUUACAAAAGAAAAACUCUGAGGGUAUUUGUCAUGUCGGUUUUCACAUUUUUACAAAACUUCUGUGAUAACUUAAACAUCAAGACAAAUACACUUCAAAGGUCUAAAAUAAAUGCAAGUAUCAUGUCCAGAGUGAAUAUAUUUGUAUUAAUGUAUAUCAUACAGGUGUCUCAACUAAAAUAUAUAUCCCAGACAAAAUUAAGGAAUGGGACAAAGUGAAUAUAAGUCUGUGCUUGCGUACUUAGCAGUUUGUAUGAAUUUGAGUGGCUACAUUCGGUACAUGUUGACAGAUUGGCUGUGAGACAGAGAGACUGUUGCUGUACUCCCAGGUAAGCCCCUUGCUUCCGGAACAACCCCACUAUUCAGUCAGGAAGCUUAAUAAAGAAGAUGUGUGUCACUAUCCAAGCCCAUGUCACAGCACGCAGUGGCCUGAUAGGGAGAUGACAAUAAACGUAUUAUGUACCUUUCAUCUCCAAAGUCAUGUUCACAGUACAUGUUGCUGAACAAUUCAACCCGUUUUGUUAGUGUCAUUUAUAUGGAAAUUCACAUACAAAUAUUCAGUUCUUAAGCUCUGACUGUAAUACCUAUAGGGUCCAGUGGUGAAAGACUGCUGUGCAAGGUAUUGGGGCAACAGCAUUCUUCCAUGUCCCGUAUUUACAAAGGGGGUGUUUAUCUAGUUUAUAGAUUUCUAGGUUGGUGGUUUGUGUGGUUCCCAAUUAGAGGCAGCUGGUAAUCGUUCCAUCUAAUUGGGGAUCAUAUUUAGGUAGGCUUUUUCCCCACCUGCAUUUGUGGGAUAAUGUUUGUGUGUUUGAGCACUACGUCGUCACGGACUUUGUAAGUGUUGUUAUUUUGAUUCUAGUUUCACUUUGUAAUUAAAGAUGUGGAACUCAA
ensembl:lncRNA